CCUACGGGAGGCAGCAGUGGGGAAUAUUGCACAAUGGGCGCAAGCCUGAUGCAGCCAUGCCGCGUGUAUGAAGAAGGCCUUCGGGUUGUAAAGUACUUUCAGCGGGGAGGAAGGUGCUGAGGUUAAUAACCUCAGCAAUUGACGUUACCCGCAGAAGAAGCACCGGCUAACUCCGUGCCAGCAGCCGCGGUAAUA
rnacentral:rRNA from 1 species